UUUUUUAAGGUUAUAUAAUUAGAUAUAUUCGUUUUUUUAAAAGGUUAUAGAAUAAGAUUUCAUUGCAUCUUAAAACCAGACAACUUUCAGAACUGAAGAAUGACGAAAAAUUAAUAAUAGAGGAGGAGAGGAGGAGCUACAUCAACAUUAUUUCUAUUUUUUCAGCCAAUCAGAGCGCUCCGGACUUCGCCCACUCGCACCAACCUCGCGCCACGCGCUCCAUUCCAUGCCCACUCGCACCAACCUCGCGUUGAACGCGUGUCGUCGAUUUCUGUAGGGGUAAACCCACAAAAUCAUGCCUAUUUUACAUCUACUCGCUUUGUUUCCAAAACAGCCUCGAGUGACUUUUUUCUUUUGUUUUUUUUCUCAAAACCGUAUUAAUUCUAAUGCAAACCGAACCAAAAUUAAUUU
rnacentral:sRNA from 1 species